GAUGAAGAACGUAGCGAAAUGCGAUAAGUAGUGUGAAUUGCAGAAUUCAGUGAAUCAUCGAAUCUUUGAACGCACCUUGCGCCCUUUGGCUAUUCUGAAGGGCAUGCCUGUUUGAGUAUCAUGAACACCUCAACUCUCAUGGUUCGCCAUGAUGAGCUUGGACUUUGGGGGUCUUGCUGGCCUACGGUCGGCUCCUCUCAAAUGAAUCAGCUUGCCAGUGUUUGGUAGAGUCGCAGGUGUGAUAACUAUCUACGCUUGUGGUUUUCUGCCAGAUAACCUUCAGUGAUGGAGGUUCGCUGGAGCUUAUAAAUGUCUCUCCCCAGUGAGGACAGCUUUUUGAACGUUUGAUCUCAAAUCAGGUAGGACUACCCGCUGAACUUAAGCAUAUCAAUAAGCGGAGGA
rnacentral:misc_RNA from 1 species